rnacentral:rRNA from 1 species
CCUGGCUCAGGAUGAACGCUAGCGACAGGCCUAACACAUGCAAGUCGAGGGGCAGCGCGGGAGAAGCUUGCUUUCCUGGCGGCGACCGGCGCACGGGUGCGUAACAGGUGUGCAAUCUGUCCAUAGUCGGGGGAUAGCCCAGCGAAAGCUGAAUUAACACUCCAUGUGAAUCGAAGCCGCAUGACUUUGAUUUGAAACGCAAGGACUAUGGGUGAGCACGCUUCUGAUUAGCUAGUUGGUGGGGUAACGGCUCACCAAGGCGACGAUCAGUAGGGGUUCUGAGAGGAAGGUCCCCCACAUUGGAACUGAGACACGGUCCAAACUCCUACGGGAGGCAGCAGUGAGGAAUAUUGGUCAAUGGGCGAGAGCCUGAACCAGCCAAGUCGCGUGAAAGGAUGAAGGUUCUAUGGAUUGUAAACUUCUUUUGUCCGAGGGUAAAAAAGGCCACGUGUGGCUUCUUGCAAGUAUCGGACGAAUAAGCAUCGGCUAACUCCGUGCCAGCCGCUGC